rnacentral:rRNA from 1 species
AUUGAACGCUGGCGGCAGGCCUAACACAUGCAAGUCGAGCGGAUGAAGGGAGCUUGCUCCUGGAUUCAGCGGCGGACGGGUGAGUAAUGCCUAGGAAUCUGCCUGGUAGUGGGGGAUAACGUCCGGAAACGGGCGCUAAUACCGCAUACGUCCUGAGGGAGAAAGUGGGGGAUCUUCGGACCUCACGCUAUCAGAUGAGCCUAGGUCGGAUUAGCUAGUUGGUGGGGUAAAGGCCUACCAAGGCGACGAUCCGUAACUGGUCUGAGAGGAUGAUCAGUCACACCGGAACUGAGACCCGGUCCAGACUCCUACGGGAGGCAGCAGUGGGGAAUAUUGGACAAUGGGCGAAAGCCUGAUCCAGCCAUGCCGCGUGUGUGAAGAGGUCUUCGGAUUGUAAAGCACUUUAAGUUGGGAGGAAGGGCAGUAAGUUAAUACCUUGCUGUUUUGACGUUACCAACAGAAUAAGCACCGGCUAACUUCGUG